AAAGUUGUAGAACGAGCAUCAGAGAGAGAGAGAACAAGGGAGGAAGGGGAUUCACCUAAUAUUUCAAUCAUGUGCCAUCCAGGAGACCCUUUGCUCAGCCUGAACGACCUGUCGUCGGUGUUACGAAGGCGGUACCCAGUGCAUGCUCUCAGAGCAACUGGAGACGACCGCGUGCCUGCUGCAGCAGCAACAGCAACAGCCGUGGCCGGGGUUGAUGGGCUCGGGUCGAAGAGGAGAUGUGUGUGCUCGCCAACGCGGCACCCUGGUUCUUUCCGGUGUAGGCACCACCGCACUGAUUACGUGUGGGGGGGUGGGAUGGUGAGAAAAUGACCAGAAGAUACGUACAAACUAUAGCUAGCUACUUGAGAAGAGGAAAGUCCCACUGUCCCGCGGGAAAAGAAGUAACGAAGAAGAUCAGCCCCUUCGCAAAUUCUGCUGUCUGAUAGCUCCAUACUGAAAACAACAUAAGAUACGACAAGCCGGGUUUUAAAUCAGAGAGUCCAGGAGUGGCAUGGCUGUGUGCAAGACUCGCCGGCGCAUCAUAGCGGUUCCCCUCAGUGGAAGCACCAUCAUGCCGAGCCAAGUAUGGCGUGGUACGGCAGAACAGAAAUUGUACAGAAACUAGUCGUAAAAGAACAUAGAAGGGUGUUUGUGCAGAAACUCUAUACUUCCAACUUUUAUCCUUUCUAACGAUCUAAACAGCAGGAGCUUGGAGGCAAGUCGCCGUUUUGACUUCUAUACUUACAACCUCCGUUUGCUCUUUCUUACAACCUUUGUUUCCAAACUGCGUCAACCCUUUUCAUGAGAAGGAAAAUGGCAUAUAGCGCCGUAAACACAGAAUCAUUUGGGAUGGAAGCGCCAGAAACUCUUUUCAGCAGAAAAAUGAGGAGACCAAGAACAUCUAACGAUAUUGGUCGCCCAGAUUCCUUAGUGCAACCUUAGAUAUUCGAAAACCAA